rnacentral:lncRNA from 1 species
AAGGACUUCCAACCGUACAGGUUACUGCUUGGGAGGACCAUGUCAUCACCGCAGGCUUUACUUUGUUUUAACAAAAAGGUCACUGUCUGUUUUCAUUGUCUGGCACCUCUGAGAAGAGUAGCAGAAAAAAGUUAAAGAAUAACUCAACUUUUUCACCCUGUGCCUGUGCCAAGCUGUUACGCACACAGUGCCACAGAGACAGAGGAAACAAAGUCAAGCGCAAAGAUGGCUGACGUGUCUCCACAGCAACCUCAGCGGCUCCAGCGCUGAGAUUUGAGGACUGGGAUCGGUUUGCGAUUCUCUAUAACAAAUUUAAAAAGUGCUAUCUGAACUUCCAGUUUCUAGCUUGACCUGUGAAGAAUCUGAAAGUCAUCACUCCCUGACUUCACAAGAGAAAAGGGUUUCUGGCUGGAGAGAAUCACUGAGAAUCAGGUGCCAGAGAAGGUUUCCUAAAGGGGAAGAAUUUAAGAGGAGUCUUGCAAGAUGAGUAGGUUUUGCCAGAAGAGGACAGAGAAUAUUAGGGGCUGAAAGAAACUGCCGAGAAAAGGGACAGGAGCUAUCAAUCAAGCAGAUGCUUCUCCCAGAGUCCCACCAGACUGUAGGCAUGACUGCUGUGCCUGUCCCAGAUGACCCCAGCUCCUCCAAGAGAUAUCUGCCUUGGCCACAGCAGACUCAAAGUUCGGACCAAUUCUGGAUGUCUCCACUCUGCUGCCACUCCUGAUGAUCCUGCCAUGUAACAUCCAGGGAGAAACGGAGGGAUCAGAUUUCUAGACCCAGUUCCAAGCACCUGAAGCAAGUCAAACGCUGCCCCAACACCUACUGGUCUUGCAGAAUUAUCUGCCGCAAGGACAGCGCCUCGGUGAGCGGCCCUCUGAGCGGCCCUCGUAGGGAUGCGCCCGCUCUCCCUCCAGGUGCCACACCUGUUGGCAAGGUGCAGAGAGGAUCCCUCCAUGCGGAGUCACCCGGCGGCGGACGGGCGGAGGGGACGCGGGCGAGGCGAAGGAGCUGAGAACCGCACUUAGCAAUUAAACCCAGAGGAAGUUCUUCGGCGUGGAUUCACAAGAACUGCUAUUUAACGCUCCGUUUACUUUCUCUAUCUCCUACACGGUUACCUCACUUCCGAUUAAAUUAAUGAUCCCGAAUUAGCCGCGAGAGGAGCCCGCGGGUCGUCUACCACGGCCACAGCGGAAUAGUUCAAAGCCCACAGCAGAUUUCCGGACGUGCAGAAACAGACAGGAGGGAGGGCCGGUGGUCGCUGGCUCUCCCGAGCAGGAAAGUGGCGGAGCAGUACAGGACCUGUUUCACUGCAGGGGGAUCCAAAAACAAGCCCGUGGAGCAGCAGCCAGACCAACAGCAGCCGCAGGACAUUGUUUCUCUCCCUCUGUGCCCCCGUCCCCACGCAACCCCAGAUCCAUUUACACUUUACAGAGCAUCGUGCAACAAGUCACCAGGGUGGUCCAUUCGUGCUGCGGAUUUGCCUGCCGUCCUUGGACCCCAGUCGCCUGCUCCACUGUCGCUGCAGGGAAGAGCAGCACAUGUCAGGUCACAGAACAGAAAGUGCUGGUGGACAUCUCUUCUUGCCCCAAGAUCUUCGUUGGAAGUCCUCCAGACUUGGUGUCUUAUUGAACUCGCCAGGAGGCAUAAUGUGUCACCAUUUUAUUGUGGGCCACCCUAAAGGAUGACACCCAGCUUCGGACACCUCCUGUUGGACAUCGUCCCCUGAGAGCCAAUGCUUUAACUCUCUCCCAUUGUCCGGAGUCUGUUUCCGACUGGUUUUGAGCUGGUGCGGGCUUAGUCAUUCAUGACCCGGACCCAGUUGAAUGUUGCUUGAUCACCUUUUGUCGCUUGCUGAACAGCACUUCCCUCUUGGGCUCUCGGGGAGUCUUUGCACCGACCCGCUAGAAACAAGGCACCUAUCCAUUCUUUCCAUCUUGGAGGUUGCCCACGGCCAUAUCCCGGGGUGACCUGGAGUAGAAGCAGUGGAGGAUAAAUUAAUUCAUCCUGCACAGACUUGUUUCAGCUAGUUCUAGCCUGUCUCUCGCCCCAGCUCCAGCUUUUAAAUAUGCCAGUGAUUGGUUUUGUGUAGGAAUGUGUGGAUUGUUGGAUUGGAAGAAUUCUCUCCCUGGAUUUCUAGUGUUUACAUAAGCAGAUAUUUAAAAAAUGUUCUAUCCCUGAUUUAAAUAGCAGGGGUUAUUUUUAAAAAGUUAUGGGCGCCUGAAGGGAUACAGAAUAAAAGCAUAAGUUUUGUUUUUUCUUUCUUACAAGUUGUAACGGAACCAAAAGGUGUAUGGUAAUGUUUUGUCAGGAAAAGGUCAAAACAGAAAGUUUGCAACAGAGACAAACUAGAAUAGAACAAGUGUGAAGAGAGGCUGACAAAUAUAUGCCCCUUGUUGGGAGUUCAGCCCGUGGAAUGUUAUGUAGGACACAAGGAAUGGAAGAGAUAUUUCAGUAACAUUUUGUUCUCUGUCAAAAACCUUCUGAAAUAUAAAUCUGCUGUGUAUUGGAGGAUGGAGACGGCAGUUGAUUCGAAUUGAAUGGCUUUCAUUUAACUAGAGUAUCCCACAGAAAGCAGUUCUUGUUCUGACAACUGUAUUUUUGCUUUCUUUGACCUAGCAAAAAUUGGAUUCCUGUUUACAUAUCUUGUAGGAUUGUUUUAUGGACAACGAUACAGGUCAAAUCCCAUCACAGUGGCCAGUGUUAUGGCAAACAGAAAUAUUUCUAAAUGAAAUACAAACAUUUCUAAGCCACAGCCGGAGUGUGCAGUAAUAAUAAGUUGGUAAUAUGAAGCCAUUUGCAACUAUAAAUAAUUCAGUUGUAGAUGUGCUUUAAAAAAAACUGUCUUAUUUUAAUUCUAGUCUCUUGCCGACGCACACAAUCAUACACUUGUAGCUCACCUAUUUGCCUAGUAGAGGAGCAACAGGAAUAUAUAUAAUCGUAGAAGUCAACUUUAUUUUGGUCCCUGGAACAGGUUACUUUUUCUCUUCUCCUCACGAUGGUUUCUGUAAUUGCCUCCAACUGCCAAACUUUGGUGAUUACCCACAAAUAUGAAUGGCUCUUUCUAAGGGUCUUGCCCCGUCAUCCAACCGAGCCCAAAGCUAGUAGCCAGAGUUAGUGCUGUAAGGAGCUGAGCUUCAAAAUUAAGGGUCCUUUGCAAGGGGUGGUCUGAUUUGAUUAUCCAUUGUGCACCCCCCCAGGAGAAAGGAGGUGCUUAUUCUUUCGGUUUUAAAUCCCUGGAUCAAAGCAAGACAUGCUCGUGCAAGAGUUCAAGGCAGCUGGGGAAUUUAGUGAGACCCUGUCUAAAAAAGGAGGGGGUGGAGAUAAAGUGUGAUGCUCCCCAGGUUCAGUCCUCAGUACUGCAAACAAGCAAACAGACAAACAGACCAUUCAUUCUGGCAUUGAUCCUGGCCUCAGAGUCCAGAAUCAGUGAGUUCAGUCUUAAUUUUUAGCAUUAACUAUUUUUUGAAUUAGUGAACCUUGCUUUAUUGUUAUGCCUAUGAGAGGACAACUUUCUUUUUAUUUUUAUUAACUCAUGUUAAUUGUACACAUUCACUUGGGCAUUUCCAUGUUAAUUGUACACAUUCACUUGGGUUCCACUUGGGUAUUUCUAUCCAUGCAUAUAUCUUGCCUUGAUCAUUCCCACUUUUAAACACAGUAAGUCAGACACAGGAAGACAGGUGUCGGGUGUUUUCUUUCAUAUAUGGAGACUGGGAAAAAGAGAUCUGAAAGUAGAGAGGGAUCUAUUAGGGAAUAGGAAGCGUUAACUAUUACUCCUGAACUACUCUCUAUAGUUUUUGAUUCAGUACACUCUGAGGUUCCCCCAGAUCCCUUAUGGACUAAAAUACAGAAUAUCCAUUUUUUUAAUGGGAGGGUCUAACUAUGUUCCCCUGGCUAGUCUCAAACUCCUGGGCUCAAGUGAUCCUCCUGUUUCAGCCUUGCAAGCAAGUGGGAGUACAGGGGCAUGACGCCAUGCCUGGCUAUAAAUACAGCUAUUGUAACACAGCAGAAUUGAUGAUCAAGAGAGAGCUCUAGAAAUAAAGGCCCCCUAGGUUUUAACCUUCUAUCUUCAAAGUUCUUGUCUGCAUGCCUUAUAUUUUAUUUCCUCUCUGUUUAUACUAAUUUAUACUUGUGUUUAUUGUUUUCUUACUUAAAAACUACUUGAAAAAAAUUCAUAGCCCUUACAAAUUUGAAAGCAUCUCAACCUAUUCAUCCUUCUUACCUUGGCCAUCUUUUGUCAUCGCUAGGCCACUUCUUCCCUUCCUACUUCUCUUCUGGGAUUUCACUGCUUAGCAGUUCCAGUGUAUGAUUCUGGAUAUGAUGGUUUGAGCUUCCUGACCAACGUCUCUUUGCAGCUGAGUCUAUUCCCUGUGCUCAAAGCUGUUGGCAUAUUCCAUUCACAGCUCCUACUCAAAUUGAAACUUGUUGCACUCAGAUCAGGCCUUAGCACUAUUAAUUUCUUCCUCUCUAUUUCUCGAUCCAUUGUUAUUUCCCAGUGACUAAAAUCUGCUUGUCACUAAGAACUUCAUUUUGAUGUCACUUACUAAAGACCUCUUGGAUUUUUCUACUCUCCUGAUACGCUUCACAGCUUCACGCUACAACGACCAUCAACAGGUCUUUGACAAAUUAGUUGUCCCUACAUGUGAUUUACAAUAUUACACUGGCUGUUUAAAAAUUAUUAAACUUCUCUCUGUGUACUUUGCUGUGGGUCAAGAACUUUACUUGUUUUGCCAUCCAACACAGAAGUUAAUCACAAACGGGUCCUCUAAACCAGAUAAUUAAAAAUAGAGCAAAGUUUCUGAACUAGGCAUUUGGCACAAAAGUUCUCACUUCCAUCUGUGCGUGGUUAGGAAAAUAUUUCAUGAUAUUUAAAUAGCAUUAGCUUUGCUCUCUUGUGUGAGAGUGUCUGUGAGUCUGUGUGUAAUUCAUUGCUCUGGAGGCUUAUUUGACUGUUAGCUAAUCUUAUGUUUUUUUAAAGUCACUGGCAAGGAAACAGGAAAGCAAAUCCAGGUGUUUUGUGCCUGCUUUCUUUAUUUGCUAGCUUCUGUGAAGGAACAGUGGUCCGCUCUGGCUUUUCUCUUUAACUCAUAGUUUUCCUCCUACAUGUGGUUCAGAAAAUGAAAGAGCAUACAUUUUGAUUUAUAAAUCUUUGUGUGUUUUAAUUCUCCACAUACAAGUCACCUUUGCUAAAGGCUUUUUAGGAGCUAUUCUGAUAGACGCAAAAUGCUGAUGAAUCUGUUUCAAUUUGGAAUGUGUCAGAUUAGGAUUUUUUUGCUCUCUGGAAAGGGGAUUGAUGCCUAGAAUGUACAGCAGACUCAUAAACACUUUGUGACUUAAACACAGACAUGUGAGUGACUGGAUUGAAGAGGAAUUUAAUCCUUCAACUUCGACUGUGCUUUGUUCUCAUAAGUAAUCAGUAUCUCCUAAAAUAUAUUCACCAGUUCUGUAGCUGUGAUUAGAUUUUAAAAGUGCACUGUCUGUUUAUAAGGUUUAAAUUGCUAAAUAAUACAAAGGUUAUACCUUUCUGGUAUUUUUCUGUUGCAAUCAUCCCUUUAUUCCUGGAAAACUCUUAUUUUAAGGUUGGUUUCUUUUUUCCAGGAGAGUUGUUGUAUUAAAUAACACUAAUGCCCCGUAAAUAUACUAAAGAUUAGGAAUUAUUUUUAAAAAAUGUCUUUCAUACCUCCAGCUCUGAAGUGUAUAUAUGUAUGUAUUUCUCAGAGUUGUUAGUUUGCUUAUGUUUCUAGAAACUAGAGAGUAGGCAUAUUCCUAAUACUAUAAUAAUAAAAUUAAACACUGAAGUCAAAAGCAGAGGAUUGAUCAUGCUCAUAUUAAUUGAAAUUAAGAAAGGAGAAGUAGCUUCAAUCAUUUUCAUUAGCAGUGGUGGGUUCUUGUGUUUAGCUCUCCAUGCUGGUUUGAUUAUUUAGGCAGUUUGUCAUUCAUGAAAUUUAAAAUCAGAAGGAACCUUAAACAUUUUUUUGUCCAACUUCCUCAUUUUACAUUCCAGUUAAUUCUGUUCAUUUCUGUGUGCAAAGCAGUGGGCUAGGAGGGAGCAAUAAAGUUGACUUAAGUUGUGACUCAUGGCUUCCGACAAAUUAAUCUUUGAUUUUCUUUUCUGUAUUAUUCAAGGGACAACUUUUAACAAGGCAUAAGUGAAUUUUGCCAAUUGUUAUUCUUGGUCAGUGUAAGAAAUUAGGGAUGAAUGUAUUUUGUGAGCUCUGGUGAAUGAAAGAUGUCUUUAUACUUCAGGGUCCUGCUGAACUGUAGACCAUCCCAAGACAGAAUUCUGGUCUUCUCUUCUACAAGACAACCAGCACUGCUAAUAUUAAAGAGACUCCCCCCAAAUGUGCCCGAUAUUCAUGUUCUUCACACUUUUGCUGUGGAACCCUUACAGUGUUUCUUCCGUUUAUUUGGGCACCUCUGAUACUGACAUCUGGUAUUUCACUUACAAGAGCCGAAUUUCAUGAUUGAUAUUCUUAUCCCAUAAAUCAUUGUUAGUAAAUAUUAUUUACUAGACUUGUGAUCGAAAACACAACAUAUAGUGUACACACUCAAGAAUGGUCACAGUGCAGAGAAGCUGCUGGUCUUUUAAUAAGAAUGACGCCCCCAGCUGACAUGCUGGGGACUGAGGAUGUGUCAGCCACUAGGUGUGAUCACCUAAUCCUCACCGCUAACCAGAUAGUUCCUUAUUAUCUCUAGCUAAAAGAUAAGUAACUGGGUUAGUAGUUUGCUCAAGGUCACAGAGCUGGUAAAUGGUAAGAUGGGGAUUUAACACCUGCCAUUUUAACCCCAGCCCCUCCGCUCAGAAGGAAUAUAAAAUUUAUUACUUACCACCUGGUGCCAUGGUGAGACUUGCAAAAUUAUUUUCAAAAACUUUUUUUUUUUUUGGUACUGGGGAUCGAACUCAGGUCCUUGCACUUGUGCAGCAGCCGUUGAAACCACUGAGCUAAAUUCCCAGCCCUACAAAUUUUUAAUAAGUGAAGAGGUAUUCAUUUUUUGGUUGCAAAUUGAACUCUUGCAUAAGUUUUUCUAAGGACUAUGAUUUGGUAGGAGGAGGUUCCAAUUUAGUCCAGUCUUAGCUGUUUGAGACUUAGAACUAUGUUAUGUUUAAAUUACUUCCAUAUUCUUACAAAAAUAUAAUUAAUUUAUAAAGAUGAAGAAGAACUACAUCUAGCUAAAUGUAAAAGUGUUUAUAAACUGGAUGCAGUAGUGCAUGCCUCUAAUCCCGGCACUCUGGGAGGCUGAGAUAGAAGAAUCUCAAGCUCCAGCCCAGUCUGAGCAUUUAGUGAGACCCUGUCUUAAAACUUAAAAAAAGGAGGGUAGGGGCGGGAUGUGGUUCAGUGUGAAGGUACCAAGUUUAAUCCAUAGUACUGCAAAAAACCAAAACAAAACAAAGCCUUAUAAAGUCUUUUGUGUGUAAAUUUUUUUUUGUAUUAAAUUCUUUUAUUGGUACAUUGUAGGUAUACAACACAAUUACAUUUCUCAUUGGGAAUUGUACCUUUAUAUAAUGCAUCUUGGUUCUUAUUUUUUCCCCAUUCCUAGCCCUCCCUUCACGCCCUCCACCCUUCCCUAUUUACAAUUUUGUGUGUAAAUUUAUAUAGUCAUUUCCAUAAUCACGUUUACAUAUGUAUGUUAUAGUUACAUGUAUUUGUAUGUGUAAAUAUAGUAUGCACCCUUUAUAGAACUGAUGUUGAGGAACUCUAAGGAACCAGCUAUAUGAUUUGGAGUUUUAUCAAAUGGAGUGAAAUUUUCAAUGAUUAUGAUUUGGUCUGUAAAAAUAGGAAUAAUGAGAUCAAAGUGUAUAUGUCUACUUUUAUCUUCUAUCUCUUGUCUUUUUUGCUUAGAAACAAAUUUAUGUCGAAACAGUGUACCUAUGAACCUUCAUAUAUGAAAAAAAGAGCUACACAAGACACUUUGUUGCAGUUUGUCCAGGGUCUCAAAACAUGCUGUAAAAACUUGGAAACUGGAAGCAUCUUGGCAAAUGUAGCAUCAGCGUGUCACUGAUUUCGAAGCUUCUGUUGAGUAUUCUAAGUAGGUUCUGUGACAGCUCUUACUAGAGGAAUUGGUACCAGCUAAGAAAAUGUACAGUUUAAUACUUUAGAGCAAAUAAUUGCUUAGGAUGCCUUAAAUAGCACAGGAAAUGUGUAGAGUGUUUACUUGACAUUUGCUCUAUCGAACACUAAUACUGAAACAGAUUCUUCGACCACAGAGAAUGCUGGUGUAGGUGGGGUGGGGGUGGACGGGAGAAAGAGGCAGAGAAAAAACAGCCAACACGAACAGAUAAAAAGUAAAUGGCAAAUUAGUUUUUGUUUUUUUUUCACUAUAUGGAGAUACCAGGAAAAUAAAAGCCCACUUGUUUGAUCCAGUGGUUUUGGAGUGUGGUAGAAAAAAGCAAAGGACAUAGAACUCUCUAGGAUUAGGUUUCUCCCUUGAAAGGUUGUCUUCACCUGGCUUUCAAAAGCCCUGUAGCCCCUGGGUGACCUGGUUUGUUUUUUAAAUCUUGAAAGCAAGAGGAAUGACCUCCCUUAAAAAAAAAAAAAAGAAGAAGGAGAAGGAGAAGGAGAGGAAAUUCCUCUUUUUAUCUGUUUAAUCUGCACAUGCUUGUGCACUUUUUUUUUAAAUGACAGCUCUGGCGCCCUCAUUUCUCAGUGUGGCUCAGUAUUUCUUGAGUUUUUCCCCCAAAUGCUUCUUGCUCUUUAGUGUUCUCGUCUCACUUCGCUGGCACUGUUCAAGUGGGACUUAUCUUACAAUGGGGUCUGGGUCAGUUUAGUGUAGCUCAGAAGUGCAGAGCAUUUUUUUUUUUUUUUUUGCACAAACUGGUUACAAAGCACUGUGACUCGGUUGCAUUUAAUAAGAAAAAGUAGGGGAUAGUUUAGGAACCUGAGCCCUUUUCCAUUCAUAGGUUUGCCUCAACUCUGCAGUGUCUUUAAGGGAAUUUUAAAUGCAUCUGGUAAAAGCCAAUAGGCAAGCACACAGGAUGGGCUCAGGAAUGUGGAACUGUGCAAUGUUAAUGAAAUCUGUUAGAAGCAUCCUCUUUUCUGUCUCCUCAACAGGAGCUGGUUUUAAAUACUCAAGGGAAUUUUGUAAACGAUGAUCCAAAGUCAGAACUUCCCCCUGCAGGUUAGCCCAGCGUCUACAACGCUCAGCAGAGGAAACGCUGUAUUUAUGGCUUUUCCCCGGAGUUGUGAUUUGACCUUGAAUAAAUCGUGUUCAACUUCUCGAUGCUUCAGUUAGCCUUUGAAAGAUAUGUGUGGUUGUGGAUGGCCUGUGGGAAGGCAGUAACUGAAGUUCACAACAGAAGGGGGACUUCAAGGAAAAUUUUAUUUGGAAAGAGCUGUGGGUAUGAAAGGAACCCUUAUGCAGGGGGCUAUUGGUGAACAAUCUUGCCAUGUGUGGCUCCUAAGUAAGGCAGGGGGUUUUCUUUUAACAAUCUUACUAUAUUUUAUAGAAUUAAAAUUUACAUAUAGAUUGUUUUAUAUUAUGUUAUGUUUACUAUAUAUUUUUAUUGGUUUAUCCUUUAACUCCAGAAAGAUUUGUGUUCAUACAUCUUCUACCUGUAAUGGGAUUUUUAUUUAUAAUGUUACAGUUUAAAUUGUAAUCAAGCAGUAACACAUUUUGUUUAAUAUGCAAAGACCUUUAAUUUUAUUUUGCAGAAGAAAGUCUAAGCCAGUUGUUUAAAAAGUUGCCUUGGAGAAGAUCUAAGUGGUUUUUCAUUCAUUUGGAGAGAGAGGGAGGAAAGUCAUCAGUAUUUAUUGAGCACCUACCCCGUGCCAGAUACAUUGCUACUAUGUGCCACGUGUAUAUCCUGUGUGAUUUAUAUUCAUAGUGUCUUCCUUUUUAAGUGUAUCAGGGCUCAGUUAGGAGGGCCAGAAUCCAUAGGAGAAAAUGAAAUAUACCUAUUGUUAUGGAUAAUUAAAAAGAGGACUUUUUAGUUAGUAGCACUCAAAGCUCCAUAUCAUAAUGUAGGGCUGUGAGUUCCCCAUAAACCAAUUGCGGGUAGGUCCUCCAGCUCUGAGACCUCCCAGUGGUUGAGCGGGAUUGCAACACAGGGCUAAACCACAUCUCCCUGGUUAAGUCAUUUCAGUUAUUGCCUCAUUUAAGUUGCAUUGUUUUAAAAAGGAUGUAGGCACUCCAAGUUGCAGUGCCUCAAAUUUGAGCAAAAGAAUACAGACUUUGAAUGUAUUCCGAGCUUGGCUCUGGAGUCCUGGCUGCAGUAAAUACAAAAGCCAACAGCUCCAAGUUUAGAUGAGAAAACAUUUCAAAGAAAGCCAGAGAAGGCUUAUAUAUUUAACACAAUAUCCAUGACUCACUUUCUCUUUGCUCUGUCUGUCCAGCCGUUAUUCAUUCACUGCUAACCCCACAGGAAGGCUCCUUUUGAAGUUCCCUUUGGCUGCUUUGCAAGCCAUAUAAAUAUACACCUUAGGAGAAUAAGGGUGAGGGAAAAGAGACAGAGGUCACCAUUUUUAAUCCUGGUGCUGCCGAUAACAAACUAUGUGACCAGAUACUUAGACAGCAAGGGAGGAUGUUUUUAAAAUUCGUUCUCAGCUGCCAGGAGGCAGUUAUCAUUCUGUAAAAGGGCUUGUUUUGGGGUUUCUCAGAAGUCUGUAGAGUUUGGGUUGUGGAGGUUCCUGCAGGACUUUCUUGGUGGAUCAGCCUUAACAGGUGCGUAGAAGUAGCUCUGGGGGUGCAACAACACCUUCACAACCCUUAGCAGUUAUGCAUGUUGAAAUGUCACACUGUACUCCACCAAUAUGUGCAAUUACUGUGAGUCAGUUAAAAAUAAAACUAUAUUUUACAAAAGGACCCUUAGAGGUUAGGGCUAGACUGUCAGAAGAACUGAAAGGAAUAAAGUUUGUGUAAUGGGGAAGCAGAUACCAAGCUAUUCAGAAGCUACCACCCACACUUAGAAGGUUGUGUCUGGGUGAUGGGGUGUAGCUGAGUGUUCUGGAAGUGUGGGUCACACUUGUGGUUUGAAUGCCAGCCCCCGCACUGACCUUCUUGGCCAGCUCUUUGUGCCACAGUCUCUUCCUCUGCAGACUGAGAAGAUCAUCAACACUCAGGCAAAAUGAGUCAGUGUAUGUACCAGUCCUAGAAGAGCACUGGGCAGCUAGAAAGUGCUAUCGACGCUACUACUGUCAUCACGUCUCUCUUCUUGGGUGUUUUCUAAUUUGUGUUGCAUUUAGGGUGGGUUACCAGGGUGAUGGUGGGGGUUGGGAUGGUGAGAGGGAGAUCUAGGGCUGUAGAGAGUGUGGCAGAGCCUGGUUCCAAGUGCUGUUUAUUUCUGAUCACCCGGCUCUGCUCACACAGCGCCAGAUCCCUCCCUUCACCUGUCCAUAUCCUACCUCACUGUCCAUAGGCAGCAUGAGCCUCUUUGUCUCUAGGGUACAAAGGUUUCCCCAGCUCCUGCAGCCCAGGUGAACCUCCCUCCCCACUGCCCUCAGCUCCCAGGUAUCUGUCUGCACAGCUCCUUUGACCAUAUCAUGCAGUGAUCCAUCUUGUCGCUGAGAUGUCUUGAUUCCCGGGUCCUCUCCUUGUGACUGGAGACCUUCACCUCCUCUCAACAUCCAGGGUGGUGUGGCAGGGAAGGGACCUGCCACCUUCUCCAGCUCUCUCUCUGUCCUGAGCCCAGCAUGCUCGAGAUUUUUGAUGUCUGGAAGCUCAGAACCUUCUCAUGCAAGAUGAGGGUCUAGACAAAAUGAUCUCUGCAUCUGUUCUUGUAGAUUUCUGGUGUUGGAGUACUAGGUGGUGGCGAAAUCCAUGUCAGAUGGAUGAAUGAAUGAAGUACAAUCCCAAGGUGCUCAGUUAAAUUACACUUGUGCUCACUAGCUUAUCUGCUUGGUGAAGGGAGGAAAUGGUCUCAGUGACGAAUUUUUCACUUUUAGUGCACAGAAAUCUUGUUUGUUUUGACACUUUUGGAGUGUGAAUUCUUGUCCACAUUGAGUUCAUAUUUAUAUUAGUAAGUUGUCUAUAAAGAAAUUAUUUUUGUGCUAAAGAUAAUAUAAAUAAUGACACAGCUAGUAAAUGUGUUUUUAAGCACAUUAGAAGUCUUUGCAUGCAGUUUAUUGUGUAUAUUAUAGUACAAAAUUAUGUAAAAUACAAUUAUAUAAGCUCUUUUUGUUCAUGAAAUAAUUUGAUCAUUUAAAAAUUCUUCUAUGAGUACUUAAGAGAUUUAAAACUAUCUCCUCUUAAAACUUUGUAACUUGUAGCUGUCUUCCUAUUUGUAUCAGGUGCCUUCUCUGAACCCUAUUUACUCAGUAUAUACUAUUAUUUCUUGUAUGUUCAAAUAAUUGGAAGAGAUGCCGGUUGAAGUCUUCAACAUCAAAUCCCAAUUUGGAAUUAUUUGUGUUUUAUUUAUUCUUUUUUUUUUCUAAUAACAGUAUCUGACCCCUAAAUAAUGCUCUUUUAUCAUAUAUAUAUAUAUAUAUAUAUAUAUAUAUAUAUUUUUUUUUUUUUGGUACCAGGGAUCGAACUCAGGUCCUUGUGCUUGCGCAACAGGCGGCAAAACCACUGAGCUAAAUCCCCAGCCCUCUUUUAUCAUAUUUAAUGCAUUUCUUUGCAUUAUAUUUGCUGACAUUUGCAAGUUUUAAACAAUGAGGAAAGAUUUUGAACAUAAUGAUCUUAAUUUACUUGCUUAACUUACUAGGGAGAUCACUUACAACCUUCUUUGUACAUACUGUAACCUCAGAGCAGUGACCUCAGAAUCAAGAAGGGUUUGAGGUGCUAAGUUACUGGUUUUUAAAACUGUUAUCUCUUUUUGGAAAAUGAUAGUUUUUAUAAGAUUUGUCAUACUAGUUUAGACUAAGUAGUGAGUGCGUUUGGUGUCUAAUUAGGCUCCAGAUGGCUUAAACUCUUUGAAGAGCCACCUGAAGCAGGACCCUGUUAAGAAAUUAUUCCAUGUCCCACAUAAUCAUGUUCAAGAGGCCUUAGUAAUUUGUGUUUAAAAAUGAUCACUGGGGGCCGGGGAUUUAGCUCAGUGGUUUCGAUGCCUGCUGCGCAAGCACAAGGACCCAAGUUCGAUCCCCAGUACCAAAAAGAUAAUUGGCAUGGUCCCCAAAGAGUUCUACCUUAGUGUUUUAAUUCAGCAUUGUUACUAAGGUACAUAUUCGAAUCUCAAUAUUAUUGGUCAGAACCGGGGCCUCGUAGCUUUUUAACAUUCACAGAGUAUAGGAAGCACCUCCUACGGUGCCAUGUUAAUAUGGCGACCGAGUUCAGGAUUGUGACCAGGAGGAAGAGGAAUGUGGGUAAUACUGGGGAGGGAAACUGGCAAACUUGUGGGCCACAGAAAUAUCAGUCCCUCUGUUUAGCAAAUAUUUACCAACCACCUCUUCAUACGAUUUGCUGUUUGUGUGUUUGGAUCUGAAAGUCUUAGAAGAUCUAUAUUCAGUCUUUUCUCUUAGAUGUACUUGGGCUUGCUUAAAUGCUCCCUUUCCCCUCUUUUUUCUUUUAAAAUGAUGCAGGAAAAUGUUGGAGUAAAUGCUGUCAACUUGGGUAGAGCUGGUUUUCCCCCUUAUCUGGGCAUAAAUCAGUAUUACAGGAGAGAAUGAGGAAGUAGUAGGUUCUGGCUAAAUAUGCACCAGUGCCAGGGAUUGUUGACCUCACUGAUUCCAGGAAGGGAAAAAAGAGUUUAAAAUAAGUUAUUUCAACCAAGAUGAUUUUCUAAAUUUGGUUUCUGAUGUGAUAACUGGGUGGAGCUACAUUUGUUUCACCUCAACCAGUUUACCCUAACUUGACUGGGGGAGAGUUUCUGAAACCUCCAUCUCUUUAGCAGUGAGUCAUCUCCAUGCUGCUGAGACAUUUUCUAGCCUUUAUUGCUGUGUGUAGUUCAAGCUUUUCUCUGGAUGUUUUGACUCCUUAAGAAACUCGCAAUAACAAAUUAACAAUCACACUCCUCUGGAAUGAAAACAUGCAGUAGUGGAGUAAUAAAUAGCAGUUUUGGAAGCCUGAAUAAACACAAAACUCAGCUCCUGGACUGGAGAAGGCUCUAGAGGACUCCAGUGUCCGACAGAUCCAAGCAAGAACACCGUUUAUAUCAAAGAGACAUGAGUGUAUUUUUUCAUUGUAUUUUCUGACAGAUUGUAUUGUAAAACCAUAUAGCCACUUUCAUUCUCUAAAAUUUAAGUUAUUUUUAGUCAUCCUACCUGCCUGAUCUCCAAUGAAUUUCUUUUUCUAGUACUGGGGAUUGAACCCAGGGCCUUCACAUUGAGCUAUAUCUUCUGCCCCCUUUAGUUUUUAUUUUUGAGACAGGAUCUUGCUAAGUUACUCAGGCUGGGUUUGAACUUUUGAUUCUCCUGCCUCAGCCUCCCAGAGUGCUGGGAUCACAGGCAUGCACUACUCUGCCUAGUUCUAAGUGGACCAUAAUGCAGUUAAUAGGGUAGACAUUAAAAUAAGGUGCAGCAUUUCUUUGGGGAACUCGUGUUGGUCUGGGCUGCUUCACUUUCUCUGAUGAAACCAGGAAUAGUAACAAGGCAAUGCUGCCUGCCCACUGUGAUUCCCACACAGCCCCGUGCUGAGUGGCUGUCCCCACAGUCCAUGAACAGCCCAGGGCUGAGUUGUUGUCCCAUGGGAAUUUGUAGAUCACAACAAGGUCCUACACAAACAACUCUGGUGGCUACUUCUUCCCCAACCGUGGGGUUGCAAGCUCCGGGUGUGUAUCUAGAUGCUGUAGUGGAGAGUCCAUCCCCAGGGGUGGGUGAACUCUGAGUUGCAGUGGAGGCCAACAUCAUGAAAGAUCUGAUAGCUCCUUCCUUGCUAUACACAGUUCGAAGAAAAGUUGGACAUCCAUGGAAUCUGAAGAACUUGUGCUUUGAAAUUCCAGCUAAUGUCUAAAGAACUCUCCAAGAUUUCACGAAUUUUCUUUCAAUUUAUAAAUACUGAGGUAUUGGGGCUUAGUGACUUUUCUUUUCCUCUCCUUGCCCAUUCCAGUUCCUCAUGAAAUUUUCCCAGAUUUAGACAAGCUGCACCGUGAAGGGGACCACCAUUCACUCUGUGCCUAAGGCAGUGGAGUGAGUCCUUUCCUACCUGGCUGGAAAAGCUGAUGGGGCAGAAUUUCAGUCUGAGGCUUGUGAGUCAGACCGAGGGCAAGAUUGAAAUGUUAUUAACAUGAGAAAAAUCUUUUGAACAUGAAGUCAUCAUGCUUGAGGUUACUUUGAACUUUCCUCAUAGUCUCUUUUCUGAUUUGUACUAGAAUCAACAUGCUUCAGCUUUAUGCUAAGAAGCAUGGUGGAGUAGAAGUGGACAUGAAUUUGCAAUUGUGUGAUAGCCAGAGACUUUCAGAUUGUAGAAAUGCUGUGCUGUGAUAAAGAUUUACUUGGCUUGUGGGCUAUUUUUUAAUGGCUUUUGGGUUCAGGAAUUUUGAAAAAGUCAGAUUCUUUGUAAUUUAAAUUUCCUUCUAAGCGAGGAAGUACACUAUGUUAUUAGUUUUAAAUAUAUAUAUACUUAGAAGUUAAAAUUGUGUAAUUAUCUUAAUGCUCCAGAGCUUCUUUUGUGACUAAACAUUGGAACUUAUUCUGUUGAAUGCAGGGAAUUUGUCCAGAAAAGCUUAAGGAAAUUUAGCCUACACAGGGAAAUUUGCUAGAUGUAUAAAUAAAGGUUUAACUAAAAAGGUGAUGCACACACAAAUUUACUUUAUCUGUGAAAGAUCAUGUUUGAGCUUUGACUCUUUGUCCUCUUUUUAGGACUAAGUAAUAAUUGUAGGUUUUUGUAGUUGAUUUAUAGUAGUGGGUUGUGUGCAGGAUGACUGUAAGUAAUGGAUCUCAUUUCAAUUGCACAAGGACAGGUUGUUUUUAAUUCACAAAAAUUAUUAUCAUUAUUAAUUAUUAUUAUUAUUAAUUAUUAUUAUUAUUAUUUUUUGGUACUGGGGAUUGAACUCAGGUCCUUGCGCUUGCGCAGCAGGCAGCGAAACCACUGAGCUAAAUCCCUGGUGCCCCAAAAUUAUUUUUUGUAAGUGUAAAUGUCCCUAGAGAUGGUAUACCUGGAAUCUUAAAAUAAAAAUAAAAAUAAUAAAGUAUGCUGUCCUAUCUUAGAAGGAAGACUUGUCCCAUUGGAAAAUAACUUUAAAUAACUCAAGGUUUAGAAUUUUUACUUGAAAUAAUUUGUAAAUCAUGGCAAUGGCUUUUAAUCCUUAAGGAGAAUUCUUCUUUAUUUCUGAGAAGACUGGGUAAAUGUUUAUAAGAACAUAGCCUUGAGUAUUUUAAGUGUAGCAAACCAACAAUAAAGACAGUUUUAUGCAUGAUAACAUACAUUCAGAGUUGCUAGGUACAAAUACCUUGUUCCUUUUUUGGAAGAGAAUUCCUGUGUUUGUGUGUGUGUGCAUGUGCGCAUGUAUGCAUGCGCAUGCAUGUGGAUGUGUGCGUGUGCGAGCAUGUAUGUGUGUGUGUGUUUGUGUGUGUGUGUGUUUUAAACUCUUAAACAUAACAGAUCUUUGGGGCCAGAAUGGUAAACUUGUAUUGUUACUUACACCGCAUACCCAGAUUAAAGAAAGCAACAGUGUAUUUCGGCCUUAACAAGUUAGAUGCGUUAACUUACUAAAGAACCUGAGUAAUACAACCUUAAUUUUUAUCAUAGGAAAUAUGAAUCCUGUUUGAUAGAGUGGAUAUGGAGUCAGGUUUGAUAACUGUUUUGACUCAGAGACUUUAUAAUUUGACAUGCUUUCCUUGUAUGCCUGUAGAUUUUUCCAGUUAUUUUGGACUUCUUUCAUUAUUUACUAUGAGCUCAGCACUCAUGUACACAUAGCCAACAAAAGCAAUAGUUAGAUGGCUUCAUGUACAGAAUAUGUUUUAUUGAACAAAAAGGGAAAAAUUCCUCUUGUUUGUAAUUAGCCCAUAAUCAGUAAGCCCUUCUAUUGGCUUUCAUCCAUUUAAAUAUAUUUUUUCCUUUGUAACUUCACACACGCCAAGCAUAUAAAUGCAUUUUUGAAUUUAAAACAGAUCGUUUUAGUAAAACUGGAAACUCAACGUUUCAUUUACUUGUAAAGUUUCUAAUCAUUCCCACUUGCUGGUCUUUGAGCCCUUUCUCAGCACCAGGAGGCCAGGGUUCAUAUAUACAGCUCCCUUUCUGGGGUCCUGACUGCUCACUGCUGCAGAGCGUCUGGGGGGGACUCUGUAACGUGCACUUGAAGCUGUGGUCUCAGCCCUAGUCUGUGCUGGGUGGUUUGGAAGGCGAUAGAGCUUCCUGGCGCCUCACCUGCAGGCUGGCUCACAGGAGAAAUGUGCACAGGGAGCCAGGUGGAGGCUGUGUGGAUGCGUCUUUUCGCUGAUGCUCGUAGAGGGUGGUUGGCACUUCUUCAUUUUGGGUCAUUGAACUUUUCCAGAAUGUUCUCUUGGGCUCUCCAGACAUGGUAUCACAGCAUGACAUUGUAUGUAUAGAUAUUUCUCUGGGGAGGAGUUUGUAGCUUUCGUCAGAUCCUCAAAGAGUUCUCUGCUCUCGAACAAUCUGUAAGAACCACACUCAUUUAGAAUUGAGAGAUUUGGACAUCUUCUGAGGAAAAUGAGUAAAAGAAAUACUCAUAAAGGCUGAGUUACAGAAAACAACAUUUUUUUUUUCUGUACUGGGGAUCAAACUCAAGUUCUUGCGCUUGCACAACAGGCGGCGAAACCACUGAGCUAAAUCCCCCAGCCCCAGAAAACAACAUUUUUUAAUCUAUCAAACAUAACCAUGACAUGGCUGCAUGUUGAACUAUAUUAAGUCAACCUUGCAAGCAUACCUGGUCCAUGCUCAAAAUGUUUUAUUUUGAAAUAAUGGAAAUAAUGUGUGGGAACUUGUAGCAUCCAGGUUUGGAGGGAUACGUACCCACAGCCUUGUUGAUGAUAGCACUGAAUUUUUAUCUGUGUUAGAAAUUGCUCAGCAUGAGACAAAGGAGGUGCAUUUGGGGACACAUAUGUGAUUGAGUGAAGACAAAUAGCAAUCUUGAGAGCCCAGUCUUUUGCUUAGCAUUUGUAUCAAAAGGUGUACAGAGCAGGAAUGGUUUGGAAGCGAGAAGCUGGUUAUCCUGGGGUGUGCUAAGCACAAGUUGCAUAUUCCUGUACAUCUGCACAACAUUUGACAGUCUGCAAAACAAGCUUGAUAAGGACAUUGUGUCUGGGUUCUAGCUGUUACUCUGCGAGCACAAUUUCUGGCCUGUACAAUAGCCAAAGAAUGAUUUUGUUGAAUUAAGUUACUUCGAUUGUUUCUCAUGGCAGCCUUCCAGAUAGAGCAGAUUGUAUCAUUUUUGCUUACAGGGUAUAAGGAGCCACUACCUACCUAAGGUCACAUGGCCCAUAGGUAAAGGAUUUAGGGCUCUCCUUUGCAUGCUGUAGCUCAGCCCAACUAAUAAAGAUGCCAUAGUUUGAUCAAUUAAGUUUUAAUGCAGGAGAGUUGGGGAGAGGCUAUAAACCUGCAAUAUCCUCAGAAAUACUAGUAACAUGGUGGACUUAACAACAGAGAAAGAUCUUAAGCCAGUACAUCUGUAUGGUGCUAUCAUGUCAGCUUUUCACAAUUUGGUGGAAGACUACAAAAAUAAUUGAUUUCUCCCCCCCCCCCCGCCCGCCAAUCCCCACUUCGAAUUGAACCCAUGGUUUUUGCAGUGAGCUACAUCCCCAGUGCUUUUUGUUUUUUAUUUUGAUACCGGCUCUUUGUAAGUCGCUAAGUUGGCCAGGGGAUAUAAUAAGAAACAAGAUGAUCUAAGUUCCUGUUGUCAGAGUGGACCUUUUCUGAGGGGUGACAAAUGACAAAAAAUCAAGUAAGAUUAGGGGAAAGAGUGAUGUUGGGACUGGGAAUUUAUUUACUUGGUGGAGUCAGAGAAAAUCUCUCGUGGGAUAGACUUCUUGAGGUGGUGAAUCAGGGGAGGGUUGUGUCCUCUUGUCUCUUACAAGAGCCCUGGUCAUUGGACUUAGGGUCUACCUGGGUAAAUCCAGGAUGAUCUCGCCUAGAGGUCCUUAAUUACCUCUGCAGUGAUCCCCUUUUUACUAUAAGGUCAUAUUCACAAAUUCUGGGCUAUAAACACAAUUUUGGGAGAAGCCACCUUUCAACACAUUAGAGGAAACACCGAAAGGUUUUAAGUAGGAAGAAUGGUAGCAUCCACUCUGUUUUAAAAAGAUCACUCUGAUGCUGUGUUGAGAAUGGUUACAGGUGAACCUCAACUGUAGGACUCAAGGAGACCAUCUGGGGGCUGUGGGAAUAACCCAGCUGAGAUGUGGGGGAGGAGAGAUGGACAGAGGCGGAUUUCAGUCUGUGUUACAGCUGAGGAUGGAUUAGAAGUAGCAGGUAAGGAAAAGAAAAAUCCAGAGUGCUUGCUAGGUGGAUAGUAGUGCCCUUCACUGAAAAGGAAAAGACUGGUUUAGGGAUAGGCUGGGACAGUGCUGGUGACAUCUGGAUGAACUUUGAGAAGUGGAGAUGUUAGACCUUAAUUUAGAUACACCGCUCUGUAGCCCAGUGGAUGGAUAAGCUUGAGUGCUGUUGCACUAGAGAGAGUGAUACUUAAAGCCGUGGGGCUGGACAUGUGCAUCUAAGCAGACAGGGUGAUGCAGGGGUCUUCACAGGGGUGAAGACAUGAUUCAGUCCUCCAGGACUAUGGAGGUCACCGUGCUGGUGUCCAUUGGUUUCAGUCUCAUCCCGAGCCCCUGAUGUAAAUGUCAGAGCCUAACACAGAGAGGAAGGUGGAAUCCAGGCCAUCAGGAGAGCCUGUCUCUGUUGUCGUGGGCUAUCACAAAGGCUACUGUGUCGUUGACUUUCAUUUUGUAAUUGUCAUUGGUUUCUUUAUAAUCUUUCAUUCUAUGCCCGACAUGCCUGAUUGGCAGAUUUGCUGUCUGAUUUUUUUAGUUUUAGAUUAUGUGCUUUUUCUUCAAGCCAUCUUCAUUUAUUAACCUACAUUCAUUUUUAAUUUUAAUGCACCAAUCAAUAAUUAUUGCACUUGACAGUUUUUGACAGUCUGCUGCUACAUUUAGCUGCUUAGCAUGAAUUCAAAAGGUGAUCUAUCAAUUUGUACAAAUGAAGCCAAGUUCUUUCUUCCUGUGUUUUGAGGAGAUGUUGAAAAAAAUGCGUGUUUACUGUGCCCUGGGGAAUUUUUGAUGUAGAAUGCAUAAUAGUUCUUUAUAUAAGAAAAUAGAGGACUAUAAAGUAGUUAGUAAGAAAAUUUCUGUUAUGUAGCAAUUUACUUAUACAUCCAUUUGAAAGGUCAGAUUUCUUUUCAUUGGGAUUGAUAUUGUGAAGAUCACCUUUUGUCAUUAGACAGUAUUUACUGAGUCCUGAUUUUUUUGUACAACAUUGUUCUGGUGUUACGGGAAAUAAAUAUAGAGUCCCCAAGUAAUCUAGUGGUCAGAGAAACAAACCCAGUCCCAAGAUUAUGAUGGGUAGAAAAACUGAGAAAAUGACAAAUUUAUCUCGAAAACUGAGAAAAUAACACAUUUAUCUCGCUGUACAUCUGCACUUAACAGUAAUCCUAGUGGAAAUUCCAAAUGAAAAAUUAGGAGUCAAGGAUGGUCCUCGCUGGAGACUAAACAGCAGGGAGAAAUGUUCUUUCUCACUAAAAUCACAGUGUCAACAUUCUUGGCAGUUCAGAUGGUCUCUGCUGUAGCUGUUGGUUUACAUUUUGAUAAUUUACCAAAGAGCGUAUAAUAUUUAAUUCCGGGCUGGAUUGUGCAACUGAACAUAGCCUUCCCAGCGAAGGGCGUGGCAGAUGUGAGAGUGAGCCUUCUCCUUGGGAACUAGAAGCUCAUUCACUCCACUGGCUCUUCUCUGGACGUGAGAUGACCCACAGGUUACAAGUUCUGGAAGAGAAGCAGAAAAGCAGAUCAUGUCAUUGCUAACGGGAAAGGAGGGGCUUCAUUUUCCUGCUCCCUUGCGGUUAAUUUUGUUUUCCUUCUUGGUCUGGGGUACUUUGCCUUGCAUUUCCUGGCAGGAUUUAGGGAAGAGGCACUGACCUUCUGGUGCACUCUUUUAUUCUACCCUAGGCAUAUUAUUAAUAGGCACCAUUUUUUUCUCUUUUUUCAUUUUGUGGCUAAGAAUUUUCUGACUUCUAUACUGAGCCUUUGCGUUUCAGCUUAAUAGAGUGAGAGUUAGCAUGUUUUGGGCAACGCUCACCCUAGCCCAUGAUUUAGUUUAAUUUUUUUAAAUACCCAAACUGUUUAUCGAACUUUGUUGUGGCAACUAUGCCAGUCACUAAUUGGCGCUAUGGUUAUUUGGCUGUUGCUCUUAGUUACUUUGCUCUGGCUUUUGGAUUACUUAAUAAAAUCGGGUGCCAGUUUCCCUCUUACAUAUGCAUACAGAGACAAAUGGAAACAUCAUCCUGAAGCAUCCAACUCUUGGGCUUCAUAAUCCUAAGAAGCACUUGGAAUCGGGUAAAAAUGAGUAGAUCCAGAAGAGGGGUGAGUCAUGAAGUCAGAGAGGGCUGGCUGGAUUCGCACACACCAGCCCCACCGCCCACAGCCCCUGCUUUGGAGACCAGUGAUGGCCUCAGGUCUGUGUUCAGGACUUGUCCUGCUGACUCAGAGAGCUGUGCAGUACCUGGGCCUGGCUUUACCCCGUUAUGCCAGUGUGUUAAUUCACAGCGGAAAAUAUCGCUAACAAACUCUCAAGCCCCCAUGAUCAGCACAUUGUCUCUCUCUGCCAAGCUACAUGGGAAUGUAAGUCAUAAUUGGAAGCCGCUUUAUUGAUUUGUUUUGAGAAAUUGCUGCUGUUUGGCUGCCAGUAUCAAUAAUAGUCACAGUGGACAUGUUCCCUGAGAAAGAUCCGUAUGGAGCCAGGUGGUUGCUUGGUGCACAAGGAAUCAGCACAAGGGUGUGGGGUGCACUGACUGUGAGCCAGUCAUAGCCCCUCUGACAUAGGGGGCUGCUCUGGUCAUCUCAGGAGAAGGAUGGCUUUUUCCAGGAGGACCUCAGCAUUUCAGUCAUUGACUACAACUCCCUCCAGUUAUCUCUUGAGGGAAGCCUUGCCAGCAAAGCUACCUUCUUCCCCUAACUGUCUUGACACUGCCUACAUUGGAUUUAAUGAUUCUAUCCUGUAAUCCCUGUCUGACCCUCUUUGGAGGAUAUCUUCUUUUCUUAAAUAUAUAAAUAUAUUUCAUCCAGUGCUGGUAGGGUUAGGGGUGGUAGUGGUGCUGGAAAUUAUCUUUCAUCAGUUGACUUUGUAUGUCCACAUUCUACUCCACUGAAUUUCAUUCUUACAUUCAACCUUUCAGUAGGCAGUCUCUCUUCCAUUUCCAAGUUCCUGUGGGAAAGUGGUAAUCCUCACUGAACUCUGGAUAUGCCCCUUGGAGGCUUCGGAGUGGAUGUCUGAUUAUACCUUCAUAUCAAGCUCUGUGAGCUGCAUAGUAACAUGGAUGUGUCUGUCUUCAUCAGCAGUAGACCACCUCCAUUGGACAAAUCCAAACUACUACCCCUUUUUGCAAAUAAAGUUUUAUUGGAACACAACCACAUUUAUUUGAUGUCUAUAGCUAUUUUCAUGUGACAUUGACAAAAUUGAUUUGCUUGUUUUGUAGUAGGCCAAUAAAGCCUAGGAUAUUUUCUUUCUGGUCCUUAUCAACAAAUGCUUGCCAACCCUGGUCUAUCUAUACCUUUAGAAGUCAUGAAGCUGCAGGAGAGAAAAGCAGAAGUUCCCCAUCUCCUGCUCCAACUCACUAAACAAAUGGAGGAAAAAGAGAAGGAAUGCAACUUGCCCAAGUUCACAGAGCUGUUCUCACCACGUGGGCGCAUGCAGGGGUACACUGCGGAGGUGCGGACCCUCACCUGAGGCUGCAGGACCACCGGUCCAGAAGCCCGGAUGGUGAGUCUGCUCUCGGGUCUGUUACUUCCUUUUCCAAUUGACUAAGCUAUUAACCUCCCUGACUCCAGCUUCUUCAUUGUGAGUGAGGGAUAAUCAUAUCCGUUCUGACUACCUCCUUUGGAUAUGCAUUUGGAAUGGGCUAUAAAGUGCUGUGUGUAGGGGUUGUUUUUCUUUUUCUUUCCUUUCCCUUCCUUCCUUCCUUCCUGUCUGUCUUUCUUUCUUUAAUUUUGUUUGCAGUACUGGUGACAUUAAGCUGGAUCCCCAGACCUUUUUAUUUUUUUAAAGACAGGGGUCUUGCUGACUUGCCAAGGCUGGACUCGAACUUGUGACCUGCCUCAGCCUCCAGUAGCUAGGAUUACGGACAUGUGCCAUUGUGUCCUGCAGCAGAGUUGUUAUUAGGGUGGUGAUGGGAAAGUGAAACAGGCUUUCUGGACCUUGGGACUGGGAAGCUGACACUG